rnacentral:rRNA from 1 species
AGUGAACGCUGGCGGUAGGCCUAACACAUGCAAGUCGAACGGCAGCACAGUAAGAGCUUGCUCUUACGGGUGGCGAGUGGCGGACGGGUGAGGAAUACAUCGGAAUCUACUUUUUCGUGGGGGAUAACGUAGGGAAACUUACGCUAAUACCGCAUACGACCUACGGGUGAAAGCAGGGGAUCUUCGGACCUUGCGCGAUUGAAUGAGCCGAUGUCGGAUUAGCUAGUUGGCGGGGUAAAGGCCCACCAAGGCGACGAUCCGUAGCUGGUCUGAGAGGAUGAUCAGCCACACUGGAACAGAGACACGGCCCAGACUCCUACGGGAGGCAGCAGUGGGGAAUAUUGGACAAUGGGCGCAAGCCUGAUCCAGCCAUACCGCGUGGGUGAAGAAGGCCUUCGGGUUGUAAAGCCCUUUUGUUGGGAAAGAAAAGCAGCAGGUUAAUACCCCGCUGUUCUGACGGUACCCAAAGAAUAAGCACCGGCUAACUUCGUG